UACGAAGGGGGCUAGCGUUGUUCGGAAUUACUGGGCGUAAAGCGUGCGUAGUCGGUUAUCUAAGUCGGAUGUGAAAUCCCCGGGCUCAACCUGGGAAUUGCAUUCGAUACUGGAUAGCUAGAGUUCGGCAGAGGGAAGCGGAAUUUCGGGUGUAGCGGUGAAAUGCGUAGAUAUCCGAAGGAACAUCAGUGGCGAAGGCGGCUUCCUGGACCAGAACUGACGAUCAGGCACGAAAGCGUGGGGAGCAAACAGG
rnacentral:rRNA from 1 species